UACGAAGGGGGCUAGCGUUGUUCGGAAUUACUGGGCGUAAAGCGUAUGCAGGCGGAUCGUUAAGUCGGGGGUGAAAUCCCGAGGCUCAACCUCGGAACUGCCUUCGAUACUGGCGAUCUUCGACCGGGAGAGGUGAGUGGAACUCCGAGUGUAGAGGUGAAAUUCGUAGAUAUUCGGAAGAACACCAGUGGCGAAGGCGGCUCACUGGCCCGGUACUGACGCUGAGAUACGAAAGCGUGGGGAGCAAACAGG
rnacentral:rRNA from 1 species